ACUGUAUCAUCCUCUCAACUGCCCCUGGUAUUGUAUUUCAGACACCUACCACGCCCUGUGUGAAAGAAACUACCUCUGACAUAUCCCCUACAUGUUCCUCCAGUCAUCUUAAGUGCAUGUCCUCUGCUACUCUGGGAAUAAGGUGCUGACUGUUCACUCUAUUGGUGCCUCUUAUAAACCUAUACACCUCUAUCAAGUUGCCUCUCACCUUCCCUCGUUUCGAAAAGGAAAGCCCAAGCUCACUCAACCUUUCCUCAGAAACAUAUAUUCAGAGAGGGGUGUAUGGGGUGUCAGGGAGGGGUAGCAUCUCUGGUGGGGGAACAUGUCACGUCCUUUUCAGGGCGGUUAGUCUACCUUUGGUCCCCACCUGGCACUCAGCUCUCACCUGUGGCUCCCCGUAGCUGUUUGCAUGUGACAGCGGCCACACCCCGGGCAACAGCUUCGACAAGCCAGCUAAACCAGGUGAGGGUAGCCGACGGGUCUCAAACCCUCGGUGUGAUAGGGAGUUGUCUAUCCCAGUAUGUGAAGACAGACUCUGGCGGAUUGAGCGGACAAGACCUAUGGAAGGUCCAACGGUCAAGAAGGCGGUCUCUGCAAGCGUUGUGGAACGUGUAGAGCAGGACAAGACACAGAAGAUGUCCUGGUCAUCCACUGCGCCUAGUCCCAUCUCCAGCCGUCUAGACUCUGUCUUGCCACUGGAUCCAGAUGGGAAUUGGGAAGAGAGAGUGAGGCUGACGCUGCGCAACUCUCCCUCACUUAAAUCCAAAUCACGCGCUAGUCUCGACACCAUCAUAAUGGUGUCGAGGUCCUCAUCGACGUCAACGAUGGACGACAACGAUAUUCAGAGAGCAUCCUGGUAAACCUCUUCUGCGCCAUCUCUAAAGCUUCCUCACCCUUCCUAUAAUGAGGUGACUAGAACUGAACACAAUACUGCAAGUAUCACACUCCCCCCGCCAAUCUUUUUUAUUCUGACAUCUUCUCCCUUCCUUCUCAGCCCUGAAGAAGGGUGUCGGCCCAAAACAUCGACUGUUACUCUUUUCCAAAGAUACUGCCUGACCUGCUAAGUUCCUCUAGCAUUUCGUGUGCGUUGCUUUGGAUUUCCAGCAUCUGCAGGCUUCCUCAUGUUUAUCAUUUGCAUUACCCUGAAAGAUCUGUCUGCAACUCCAAACCUACCAACGUUUCAAAGUUUCAAACUACACUUAUUAUCAAAGUAUUGUAUGUGUACAGUAUACAACCCUGAGAUCUGUCCUCCCACAGGCAGCCAUGAAACAAAGAAACACCAUGGAGCCCAUUUAAAGAAAACAUCAAACACCCAGUGCGCGAAAAAGAAGAACAAAUUGUGCAAACAGCAAAGAGCGAGCAAAUAUCACACAGAAUAGUAAAUUUCAAAUUUUUCAAAUUGCGGAGUCCCUGAAAUGGCCCAGGAGCCAUAGCCACCGAGUCAGUUCAGCUUAGCGCUGUGUCAAUGAACAACUGAAUAGUACAGCACAGUACAGGCCUUUCCGCCCACAAUGUUGUGCCGACCCUCAAACCCUGCCUCCCAUAUAAGUCCCCACCUUAAAUUCCUCCACAUACCUGUCUAGUAGUCUCUUAAUCUUCACUAGUGUAUCUGCCUCCACCACUGACUCAAGCAGUGCAUUCCACGCACCAACCACUCUCUGAGUAAAAAACCUUCCUCUAAUAUCCCCCUUGAACUUCCCACCCCUUACCUUAAAGCCAUGUCCUCUUGUAUUGAGCAGUGGUGCCCUGGGGAAGAGGCGCUGGCUAUCCACUCUAUCUAUUCCUCUUAUUAUCUUGUACACCUCUAUCAUGUCUCCUCUCUAUCAUGACUGCCGGCCUCAACUGCAGAAUCAGUUCCGCUCCAAAGUGUCUCGAUCAAAUAGCGCAAAUAGCAAAAAUGAGUAACCAGAAACACAUGAGCAUUGACUGCAGAGUCCUCCAAGAACAAGUCCAAAACUGUAGAGUGCGUUCAUUGCUGAGGCUAUUAAACAUCAAACCACAAAGUCCCCCCAAAAGAUGAGUCCCACAGCCACAAACCAUGGCGAGGUGAUGGAAUCUACACCUUCUUCCGGCAGCAGCGAGAGGGAAACCGGUAAAACGCAGGCAGACCUCACUGAACAUUUGAUCGCCUUCUGCUCUUGUCCCCACUGAUUUCAGUCUUGCACAGAGCUUUAAUCAUCGAGGAGUAAUGGAGUCAACCACUGGUUCACAUUCCGCCAUUCGGACGUGACGGCCGCACCCUCCCCUCUCGACCUUGUCAAAUUCCGCAGGCGACAGGAGAGCACCGGAUCACUCAGUCAGCCCAAAACCACAUAAUCAAAAUGGAAAUUACAGGCUGCAAUUUGACCUUUACCUGAAUGACAAUGAGUACUGGCAUUGUCCCUGAUGAAUACAGUCACAGGACAUGUACAUCACUGGAUAUUAAAAGUCCCAGGCAACCACAAGAACUCCCGCUACAGCCCAACAAGUUUUAAGAGCUAUGUGAGAAGAAACCCCUUUCCUUUGAUUGCAAGGAUUAGAGUUCCAAGCUAAGCCCGUACUCUGUCAUGGAGAGGAGAACAAAACGACAGUACUUGUCUGCUCUACUACGAUAACAAGUUCCUCUCAUCUGAAGGUAGAAAUCCAAAAUCGUAACCUAAUUAAUACCUGAGAGGAAGCCUUACUGAGUUGUACUAUCUUAAUGUGAAACCCACAAUGCAAAAUAUAAUUAAGGAUGUCCCAUUAAAAAAACGCUACCCUUUCCCGCUGAUGAAAGCACUGCUUUAUGGUCUAGUUAUGGCUGCUGUCCAAAUUUGUGAAGAAAGGAAAACAAAUCAUAAACCAUUCAAUUCGAGAAAGACACUGCUCGAGAACACCCACUAAGCAGAGUGGGGGAAUGGUUUACUCAAAUUAAUCUCUGCCCGCACCAACAAAAGCCUGGGAGAAAUGCAAAUUCCAGCAAAGUGACCUGCGGAGGACCUGCCAUUUCAUACUGUAAUACAAACAAAGACUUUCUUGGAGGCCUUUGGAAUUCUACACCUCAGACAGCUGCGAAUGAUUAACCAUCAAGUCACUCGAAACUGAGAUCGAUGGAGUGUGGUUGUUAAAGAAAUCGUGGACUUGGGGAUCAGAAAACAAGAUCUGUUUCAACUUUGUAACCAUUCACGGGACCAUAUGUCAAUGGGCACAACAGUUCAGCAUUCCUGUACGAUCUGAAGUGGAGGAAUCUUUUGUUAACUGACACCACUUUGACAGACUUAAAAUGCUGCACAUUCAGGAAAAUCCUGUCACCGUUUAAUCCUGAUGACAUCCUAAAACUUAUGGUAACAUCAGACUGAACAGCCGUGUAAUUGGAUAACAGUCCCGUCAAGGGCACACAAAAGAUGCUUAGAAGCCUACGGCAGAAACUCGGUGCACUCCGAGAAGCAAAAGUCAAAUUGUAGGAGUCAGCAGAUUCACUGGGAAUCAACCCAUCAUCUGUCACAAGGAUAAGGACAUGGUCUAGCUUGUGGAAAGGGGGGAAAAGACAUAAACUGGCUAAAAAGAAAACAUGGGAGUUAAAACAAAGAAAUUAAAGAAUGAUUGAUGUUUUAAGAACGGGGUAUGUUAGAAAUGGAUGUUUGAGUUGACAAUAGUAGAAAUGAAAAAAAAAAUUAACAAAAGGAGAAUUGUCUCUACUAGCUAAGCCACACUUGAAGGCUAGGGGCUGGGCCUGGUUGUCAGAAGCUAUUUCAUGCAAAUUCCCUGAUAUACGUGCUUCUCAAGAUCCCACUGAUUAUUGGGGUGGUGUCUAUAACAUAGCCCUGCAAAGGUGACCAUCCCCUUAUUUCUACAUUCUCCUUCAAUGAUCCCUCAAGAGAAUCUUCUGUAAGCACUACAGUUAUGUCUUUCCUUAUCAAAAAGGCAACACCCCUCCACUCCUAUCAGUCCUUCUGUCAUGCCCAGAACAUCGAUAUCCCAGAAAAUUGAGCCUCCCCUUCUGUCGGCCACCUUUUUCUCAUGGCCACAAUACCCCAGUCGCUAGAAGAAUUCCACACUCUCGGUUCAUCUGCUGUACCUGUUAAGCUGCAUACGUUGAAAUAAAUGAAAUUUAAAGCAGUGGUAUUAUAAAGCAGUGGCCUUAUAAAGCAGUGGCCUUAUAAAGCAGUGGCCUUAUAUUAUAAAUGGCUCAGCAUGGACUAGAUGGGCCAAAGGGCCUGUUUUGGUGUUGUACUUUUCUAUGACUCUGUACCCUUUUACUGUAAACAUGGUUAUUCUGAUAGCUAUGCUUACAUUCUUUAGCCGUUACACCUCUGUCUUCUCACUGACUUUGCUUUCUCGGGUCUCACUCCUGUGUCAAAACUACUGUAAGACCUCCCUGCAGCAAAAGCAAAUUUCCUUGCUAGGAUAUUUGUCCCCCUCCAAUGAGCGUGCCAUUUUAUGGAUAAAGUAGCAACUUAAUUAGCGUUAAUGUAAGGAAGAUGAGGCCAGCCCAAAAAUAACGUCUGCUUGGUUUGCACAUUUUGCUAUUAUUCUUACAAAAGUAUUCAAACAAACUUAUUUAUUCCAAAGGCUUGACAAGCAUAACCUGUUUUUUUCCACUGUUUAAAAAAAGCACAGCACAUCCCAUGUGGAACACAGACUGGGUUGUGCUUAUAAACACACAGGGGGAAUUAUCUUAAACUAAGGUUUAUGCACUCCUCUAUACAGGUAUGAUGACUGAGUGUCUUUACACUCAUUUCUAAAUGUGCUACCAAAGAGGUUUCAGCUAAUUAUUAUAAACUUCCUUUACUGCCUAUUAAGAAGACACAAGAGUCUCAGGACCUGCACCACCAAGUUCAAGAACAGUUACUACUCUUCAACCAUCAGGAUCUUGAACAAAAUGGGGAUAACUACUCUCAGUGCCCAUCCAUUGAGAUGUUCCCACGACCAAGGAUCUCACUUAAAGGAAUUUUUACCUUGUCAUCUCAUGUUCUCAUUAUUUAUUGCUACUUGUUUAUAUUUGCAUUUGCACAGUUGUGUUCUGCACUCUGGUUGAUAUUUCAUUGACCCUGCUAUAGUCACUAUUCCAUAGAUUUGCAGAGUAUACCCGCAGGAAAAAGAAUCUCAGGGUUGUAAGUGGUGACAUACAUGUACUUUGAUAAUAAAAUUUACUUCGACAUUGACUACGAAUGCUGUAAAAGUUUCUGAUUUAAGACACCAUCCCAUCUCAAUUAUUUGUUGUGAAUUCAGAAGCAAAUAAUAAAUUUGCUCAUAAACACAAGAGAUGCUGGAGAUCCUGAGCAAGUAUAACAUUGCUAUAAUUUGGUACUGGCUUUAUCACUACUCUGAUUAUUAUUACCAGAAUCAGGCUUAAUAUCAACAGCAAUUGUUGUGAAAUUUGUUGUUGUAUAGCAGCAGUACAUUAGUGCAAUAAAGUAUUGAGGUAGUCUUUAUGGGUUCAAUGUCCAUUCAGAAAUCUGAUGGCAGAGGGGAAGAAGCUGUUCCUGAAUCUUUGAGAGUGUGCCUUCAGGCUCCUGUAUCUCCUUCAGGACUCAAAGAAGGGUCUUGAAGGGUUUUAGCCUGAAACAUCAACUGUUUACACUUUUCCAUAGAUGCUGCCUGACCUACCAAGUUCCUCCAGCAUUUUGUGGGUGUUGCUUUGGAUUUUCCGCAUCUGCAAAUGUUCUCGGGUUCCUAUACCUCCUCCCUGAUGUCUAUACAUCUUGUAAAAAUAUUUAUCCAUAAUACUUUGUGUUACAUGUACAGCUUUCCAUUUAAAUUUAGUGGCCAACAACCAAUGACAGCAAUAAGUUAGACAAUUAUAUUUCAACUUUAGCCAAGAAUUCUCCGAUUGAAUGUGUUUUCUUGGUGCUUAAUAUGCCUCCAGAGGGAACGAGGCACAAAAUGGGAUGUUCCUCAAUUGGCAAAUGGGGAACACCCGUUUACUCUAUUAAAUUUGUAACCAUUGAUUAUUUUUAUUACAGCAAUGAAUAAAUGCUCAGUUGUGGUAAUUCUUCAUUUUCACCUAAAGAGGGGAGUAUGGCAGUGAAUAAUAGCAUUGUGGGGCCUACCAAAUACAGUAACAAAACUAAAUAUAAGAGAUGCCAGUCUCUGAGAAAACUGUACAUAACCCAUCACCUUUCAGAUUAAAAACUAGUAAUAAUGAGGUAGGUAUAAAAGAAAAUAGUUUUAAAGACAAAAUCAGUUAUUUCUGCAUAAGUUGUACAAUUUUAUAAGGUAGGCGGAUAGUAGCUUAGCAUAUUCCUAUUGUGUUUACUUGGAAGCAAUGCAUAUCAUUUAUUAGUUUUAAUCCAAACUAAAAUAAAUAACUAAUUUUGCAGUAGAAU